ensembl:rRNA 5S_rRNA 5S ribosomal RNA
ACCGGCAGCCUUAUCACCCUGCAGCCCAAGACUAGUUACCCACUGAAGCUAAGCAGGGCUGAGCCUGGUCAGUACCUGGAUGGGAGACCUCCUGGGAAAACUAGGUUGCUGCUAGAA